rnacentral:lncRNA from 1 species
AAUUAUGCAAUACAAAUAUUUUCUGUCCAAGGGAUUUACUUUUAAUUCAAUACCAACGUAAGCAUUGAAAGGUAGUCUUCACCAUUUCUUUUCACACUUUUCGUCUCAAAAAAGCAAUAAUUCGCUACAAUAAACAAAUUUAAGUGGAUUAAAAGGUGCGAACUGUGCACUUUGAAAAUUAACCUGCAUUUUUUAUGACAAUUAUCCUAUAAAACAUAAUUUUACUCAAUUUGUCAUUUUAAGGUAACGAUUUGAUUGAUUCUUAUUAAUCCGGGCUACGAUAGUUUUUUUAAUUAUUUAUUAUUAAUUAAUUUAUUGUAAGUGGUAUCAAGAGGCAAUUUUCACCACUUAUAAUGAACGAGAAGAUCAUAAUCUAUGGUUAUUUCUGAAUUCAAAACUACUCAAAAAUGUUGAUUGUAUCUUAAUUUAAGACAUUUAAUGUCGAUUAAAGAUAAAUAAUAGAAGAUAAUAAACUGUCUUAAAUCCACUAGAAGUGAUUGAAUGUGAGAUUCUUAAUCUUAUCCCACUUAGAACAUGUCUGUUUAGAAAAUCGGUUGGAUGUAUCAUAUAUAAACAGUGAGAAUCCAAAUGAAAAAUAUACUACAAUUGUGUAACUUAAAGAGAGUCAACAUGGGUUUUAAAGUUGUUGUUAUUGUUGCAGUUUUAGCCCUUAUUAACGGUUGCAUUGAUGCUUCAAUAUUGGAUGCAGUUAAAAUAGAUGAUGUUGGAACAUUACCCCCUAAUGAUUCUGAGUUAUUAAACCAGCCUUGGGUAACAUUUACUAACCUGGAUGAGCAAAUGACAAGUAAUGUUUUAGCUGCAGUACAACUCGCCCUUCAAAUGAAUACAGGCCGAUCUACAUUUGUACAAAGCGUUAUGGGUUCGCUAUAUCCAAAUAUUCGUUUUAAUAUUGUUGAAAGCUUCACUGCCGGUUCUAUAUUUCGUACGCUUCGUGCUUCAAUUGAAGGAUACAAUAGCAACGGAGUACUCACUAGGUUCAUAAUCUUUACAUCACCAUAACUUUUUAAAAAAUGAUUAAUAUUUGAAAGUUACUUUGUUAUCUUUUGACAGAAUUGUUAUGAUUAAUUAAAAAUCGCAAUUUAAA